rnacentral:sRNA from 1 species
CAGCACUUUGGGAGGCUGAGGCGGGGGGAUCACGAGGUCAGGAGAUCGAGACCAUUGUGGCUAACACGGUGAAAACCCAUCUCUACUAAAAAUACAAAAAAUUAGCUGGGCGUGGUGGCACGCACCUGUAGUCCCAGUUACUCGGGAGGCUGAGACAGGAGAAUCACUUGAACCUGGGAGGCGGAGCUUGCAGUGAGCCGAGAUUGUGCCACUGCAUUCCAACCUGGGCGACAGAGCAAGACUCCAUCUCAAAAAAAAAAAAAAAAAAAAAAAAGAUACCUCAGUUAUGUUAUCAGUAAAAGGGGAUUGCAAAUAUCUUUUAAAUAAAAAUUUGCAUUCUAUAUGUUAUAGAAUACAGAGGAUAUUAAAAAUAAAUUUUAUCCAUGUUUUGACAAUUUCUUUCUUUUAACUGUUUACAUAUUGAAGCACAAAUGCUAAACAUAAGUCAGAAUGGAAGAAUAUUUAAAAUAAUGACUGUGUUUAUAUCUGAUUUAUUUCAGAUUACCCAAAGUGCAUCUUGCCAGGUUAUCUUCCAUUUGAAGACUGACAUUUUAUUUCUUUUUUGAUCUUUAUUGUUCCUCUCUUCCACCUCUCAGUGGGUAUAGCUCUCUGGUCUGUAGAAUGGGACAGUGGUCUGGUUUCCAGAUUGAUAAGUGAGGUAUACCUCCUAGUUUUCAAUAAUUACCUGUAGAAGGUGGAGAAGUUACUGGAUAUGUUUAAUAAUAUCUCAUUACAUUCUUUUUUUUUUUUUUUUUUUUUUUUUAAUGAGAGUCUUAACUCUGUCACCCAAGCUGGAGUGCAGUGGUGCAAUCUCGGCUCACUGCAAUCUCCACCUCUGGGUUCAAGCGAUUUUCCCGAGUCAUCUUUCCAAGUAAUUGGGAUUACAGCUAUGUGCUACCAUGCCCAGCUGAGUUUUGUAUUUUUCUUUCUUUUCUUUCUUUUUUUUUUUUUUUGAGACAGAGCCUCACUCUGUUGCCCAGCCUGGGUGACAGAGUGAGACUCUGUCCCAAAAAUAAAAAAUAAAAAUAAAUGAAUAUAUAAAAUAAAAAAUAUAUGUAUACAUAUCAUAUCUAUAUAUAAAAUAAAACUUAUGAAUAGUUUUUAUGGCUGGGUGAAGUGACUCAUGUCUGUAAUUCUAGCCCUUUAGGAGGCUGAGUGAGGAGGAUCACUUGAGCGUAGGCAUUCGAGCCCAGCCUGGGCAACAUUGCAAGACUCUGUCUCAUUUUUUUAUAUAAAAUGUUUUUUUAAAAAACCCUAUGUAUAAUUAUUUAUUUUUUUCCCCCAAGGAUUAUUCCCAAACUAUGUACAAUUAAUAGGUUGCCUUGCAGAGUUGGAUCAAUAAUACCUGACACACUUGUAUAGCAAGCAUACACUUUACAUAGUUCCUCGCAUCUAUUCUUUGAAACCCAGACACAUUCUAGUAUUGGGCACUAGAAACUGGUGAUAAAUAAUAACAAUUACGUAUAUUUCCUGAAGAAUUAUGUGGCAUUCCUUGUUUUAAGCACCUUUGAUGCCUUAGCUCAAUCUCCAUUACAAUACUAUGAUAUAAGUACCAUUUAAUAUUUCUUUUUGACAGAUGGGAAUAAUCGAGGCCUAGGGAGAUUAAAUUACUUGGCCAGGUUCAUGUAAGUGGCAGAUCUAGGAUUCAAAUUCAGCCGGUCUGAAUCUAGAGCCUAUUCUUUUAGCUAUGAUGCUAUACUUUAAUACAGUAAUACACUGUUCAAAUGAAACUGUAACAUGUCAUUAAAUUUGAACUUGUCAAUAAACAUACCAAGCAAUAAAAUA